GAUCUGUAAUUCAUCAAAUCCAUGGAUGCAGAACCAGAGGAUACCAUGUGACAACUGUAUUUACCUUGUGAUGCGGCAUGGUCUUUUAUGAGGUGACACAGAACACUUUGUGGGACCAGGAAUUGCAGAUUGCACAUCUCAGCUCAAUCUGCCUCGUUUCAUCAAGUGCUGGUGUGCCGUGUGGGGCUGGAGACUGCCACAUUGGAAGACGGUCUCUAGAGAGAGCCGAGGCUUAAAGGCUUACACGUGGGACUUAUCCUCACGCAGGAGGCAGCCAAGGUGUGCGAUUACUCAGGAGUCCCAACACGCAGGGAGUGCAGAUGCAGAAGGGUCAAGGGUGAGCCCCAGGGCACUCCAAAGUGGACAGGCUAGACAGAGGAAGGGCCAGCAGGGGAGGCCAGGAAAGCGUGAGCAGACGUGUCAGAGAAGAACUUGGAGAGUGAGGAGUCAGAGCAGCUGAGAGACAGAGAGAUCCCAGGACUCUGGAAGGCUCCAUGGCUGAGUCUGGAGGCCUGAGCUGGCACAGACGGGAAAGGGCUUUCUGAAUGCCGGGGGUGGCGGGAGCAAAGGAAGUCGAGAGGGUGUGGAUGGGCCCAGAAGAGUGUGGACUCACUGGAGAGAGCUGAGGUGUGGCAGGAGGGGACGGCACAGGUGGGGCACUGGCACCCGGAGGGUCUUAUGCCCUUCCGAGAACUGGAGGCUUCCCUCUCUGGGCCAGUGGUCUCGGCCACGCCGGGAGAGCUGCGUUCCCACAUUCCGGGCUUCUCCUGGUCACUGUGGGGUCAGAUGCAGUGCCCGCCAGGCACGGCCGGUUCCUGCCUCUCUCCCACUGGAGAACACACACACACACAGAG